UACGUAGGGGGCAAGCGUUGUCCGGAUUUAUUGGGCGUAAAGAGCGUGUAGGCGGCCUGAAAGGUCAGCUGUGAAAACUCGAGGCUCAACCUCGAGACGUCGGUUGAAACCAUCUGGCUAGAGUCCGGAAGAGGAGUGUGGAAUUCCCGGUGUAGCGGUGGAAUGCGCAGAUAUCAGGAAGAACACCCGUGGCGAAGGCGGCUCUCUGGAACGCAACUGACGCUGAGACGCGAAAGCGUGGGGAGCAAACAGG
rnacentral:rRNA from 1 species